AACGAACGCUGGCGGCGCGCCUAAUACAUGCAAGUCGAGCGAGAAGGUGUAGCAAUACACUUGUAAAGCGGCGAACGGGUGAGGAAUGCAUGGGUAACCUACCCUCGAGUGGGGAAUAACUAGCCGAAAGGUUAGCUAAUACCGCAUACGUUUCCGGAACUUCGGUUUCGGAAAGAAAGCAAUACCGUGGGUAUUGCGCUCCUGGAUGGGCUCAUGUCCUAUCAGCUUGUUGGUGAGGUAACGGCUCACCAAGGCUUCGACGGGUAGCUGGUCUGAGAGGACGAUCAGCCACACUGGCACUGCGACACGGGCCAGACUCCUACGGGAGGCAGCAGUAAGGAAUAUUGCGCAAUGGACGAAAGUCUGACGCAGCGACGCCGCGUGGGGGAUGAAGGUCUUCGGGAUUGUAAACCCCUUUCGGGAGGGAAGAUGGAGUGGGUAACCACUUGGACGGUACCUCCAGAAGCAGCCACGGCUAACUUCGUGCCAGCAGCCGCGGUAAU
rnacentral:rRNA from 1 species